rnacentral:rRNA from 1 species
AGCGGCGAUGGUUCAUUCAAAUUUCUGCCCUAUCAACUUUCGAUGGUAGGAUAGUGGCCUACCAUGGUAUCAACGGGUAACGGGGAAUUAGGGUUCUAUUCCGGAGAGGGAGCCUGAGAAACGGCUACCACAUCCAAGGAAGGCAGCAGGCGCGCAAAUUACCCAAUCCCGACACGGGGAGGUAGUGACAAUAAAUACUGAUACAGGGCUCUUUUGGGUCCUGUAAUUGGAAUGAGUACAAUUUAAAUCCCUUAACGAGGAACAAUUGGAGGGCAAGUCUGGUGCCAGCAGCCGCGGUAAAUUCCAGCUCCAAUAGCGUAUAUUAAAGUUGUUGCAGUUAAA